AUGUAUCCAAUAGCUUGGGCUAUAGUAGAGGUCGAGAGCUACGAUUCCUGGUAUUGGUUCAUUGGGUUUCUUCAAAAAGAUCUACAGAUAAACAACAAUGGUGAAGGAUGGGUUUUCAUCUCUGAUCAACAAAAAGUGAGCUCAAUAUAUUUUACUCAUAUACUUGUUAUUGUAUAUAUGAUACAAAUUUAA
rnacentral:rRNA from 1 species